UGGAGCAUGUGGUUUAAUUCGAAGCAACGCGAAGAACCUUACCAGGUCUUGACAUCCCUGACAACCCGAGAGAUCGGGCGUUCCCCUUCGGGGGACAGGGUGACAGGUGGUGCAUGGUUGUCGUCAGCUCGUGUCGUGAGAUGUUGGGUUAAGUCCCGCAACGAGCGCAACCCUCGACCCUAGUUGCCAGCAUUCAGUUGGGCACUCUAAGGUGACUGCCGGCUAAAAGUCGGAGGAAGGUGGGGAUGACGUCAAAUCAUCAUGCCCCUUAUGACCUGGGCUACACACGUGCUACAAUGGGCGGUACAAAGGGUCGCGAACCCGCGAGGGGGAGCCAAUCCCAAAAAGCCGCUCUCAGUUCGGAUUGCAGGCUGCAACUCGCCUGCAUGAAGCCGGAAUCGCUAGUAAUCGCGGAUCAGCAUGCCGCGGUGAAUACGUUCCCGGGCCUU
rnacentral:rRNA from 1 species